rnacentral:lncRNA from 12 species
GCUGGUUAAAAUUUAAACAUGGUAGGAGGGCAGGUGAGGGGAGAGAUCGCUUCCUGAGCCUCCUGGGGCGGGGGGCGGGGGGGGUUCCAGACACUGUCUGGGGAACCCCGGGCCCACAUCUGAUGUAUCCUCCUGAUGGCCAAGCGGGGAAGCUCAGAGGAGUCAACGCCCAAAAUCACCCAGCAAAGGAGGGGCUGAAUUCAACCCAGAUCUCUCCGAUUCCAAAGCCCUGUCCGAAUCGCCUCUCCCACCUCAGCAAGGGCAGAGCGAAAUUGGGAAGAAACAGACAAGCCCAUGUUUCUGAAUCUCCAUUUUCUCACCCACAUAAUGAAGAAUAACCAGAAGCAUGGGAGCAAUCAGAAGAGAUGAGACCCACGAGCUUCCUUUACUCGCCAAAAAUGCACCAUUCACGUGGAAGGGGCUCGGAGGAUUGCCCCUCAGCUGGGGCAGCCGGGGUGAGACUGAGCUCACCUGUCUGCCCACUGUCUGGACCAGCGGUGCUCCCACCUCAGCGUGUCCUCAAAACCAUCAGGACAGCUGGCCGACCAACACCCCUGCCCCGCCACCCCGCCACCCUCACCGAGUGCCGAGCUCCGGCCCCAGGCGCUGAUGGGGUGAGUGGGGUAGAGUCUGAGGAUUUACAUUCCUAGUAAGUUCCCAGGAGGUGCCCGAUGACACCGAUCCCACCAUGCAGGGAGGCCCACGCUUGGAGAACGGAUCUCCUGGAGAAACCAAUAGGAAAGCUGAGGCUCCAGAAAGUUCUGCUACUCCUAACCGCGGCUCGUGGCGUUGCAGUGAUUAAGCGCUUCAGGUUUUGCUGAGUCUGGGCCGUUGAAACACCGAGAUAGGUGUUUGCACACUGAGAGGAACACUGAGAGGAACGCCAUGUAGGAAGACUCGGCGUGCCUGGGGAGCCUACGGGGCCCUGGGUUAGGAUCGGGCCUGCUCCGAGGCUCCCCUGAGCCACGAGCACCCGUGCAAAAGCUCCAGCCCCCAGGUGCCCUAGCGCACCCCUGCCCAUCUGGGUCUUUCUAACGCUACUUGCCCCGCCAGCGGCCAGCAGGGGACAGAGAAGCAAAGCCCCAGGUAGGCGAGCUUUCCAGUCUCCUGUGGUUCCACUGUUCACCAUGACCUCUAGGGAUCCGAAGGGUAAGAAAGGGGUCUCCACCUCCCUGGUGUUAUACCCUCCUUCUUCCUAACCCCAGCUCAGCUUUUGUGACCCACAGUGUCGCUGCUCUCUCCCCAGGGCCUAGCACAGAGCUUGGCCCACCGGGGGCGCUCACUCAGUGUCCCCGGGAUGGGUGAGUGCCUGCGGUCCCCUCUCUGGCCUGUUCCUGGGACGGCCACAGCCCAAGCACCCCCCGCCAAACCCACCCCCCCGCCCCAGGCCCC